rnacentral:RNase_P_RNA from 1 species
GAAGCUGACCAGACAGUCGCCGCUUCGUCGUCGUCCUUUCGGGGAGACGGGCGGAGGGGAGGAAAGUCCGGGCUCCAUAGGGCAGGGUGCCAGGUAACGCCUGGGGGGGAAACCCACGACCAGUGCAACAGAGAGCAAACCGCCGAUGGCCCACGUAAGUGGGAUCAGGUAAGGGUGAAAGGGUGCGGUAAGAGCGCACCGCGCGGCUGGUAAC